AGAGUUUGAUCAUGGCUCAGGACGAACGCUGGCGGCGUGCCUAACACAUGCAAGUCGAACGGGACCGGGGGCAACUUCGGUUCAGUGGCGGACGGGUGCGUAACACGUGAGGAACAUGACCUUCGGCGGGGGAUAGCCGGCCCAACGGCCGGGUAAUACCGCGUACGACCAUUUGGGGACAUCCCUGGGUGGUGAAAGCAGCAAUGCGCCGAUGGAGUGCCUCGCGGCCUAUCAGCUAGUUGGUGAGGUAACGGCUCACCAAGGCAACGACGGGUAGCUGGUCUGAGAGGAUGGCCAGCCACAUUGGGACUGAGACACGGCCCAGACUCCUACGGGAGGCAGCAGUGGGGAAUAUUGCGCAAUGGACGAAAGUCUGACGCAGCGACGCCGCGUGUGGGAUGACGGUCUUCGGAUUGUAAACCACUGUCGGGAGGGACGAAUACGCCGCAAGGCGGGUGACGGUACCUCCAAAGGAAGCACCGGCUAACUCCGUGCCAGCAGCCGCGGUAAUACGGAGGGUGCGAGCGUUGUCCGGAAUCACUGGGCGUAAAGGGCGCGUAGGCGGCCUGAUAAGUAGGGGGUGAAAUCCUGCGGCUUAACCGCAGGGCUGCCUUCUAAACUGUCAGGCUUGAGCACAGUAGAGGCAGGUGGAAUUCCCGGUGUAGCGGUGGAAUGCGUAGAGAUCGGGAAGAACAUCAGUGGCGAAGGCGGCCUGCUGGGCUGUUGCUGACGCUGAGGCGCGACAGCGUGGGGAGCAAACAGGAUUAGAUACCCUGGUAGUCCACGCCGUAAACGAUGGGCACUAGGCGUCGGGGGGAGCGACCCUCCCGGUGCCGUCGCUAACGCAGUAAGUGCCCCGCCUGGGGAGUACGGGCCGCAAGGCUGAAACUCAAAGGAAUUGACGG
rnacentral:rRNA from 1 species